rnacentral:lncRNA from 1 species
GUAUGAAAGAGUCCCCUCUCUGUCUGUCUCUCCGAGUUUCUACUACUAAGUAGCACUUCUGCUAUUCAAUCAUAGAAUCGAUUCCGAUCAAGCUGAAAAAAGUCAGCCCUAUAUAUGUUAUUAGUAAAGCGCUUACGCCCUAUCUAUAGUAAGGGGGCCUUUCUCGCUCGUUAGACCUGUUUUUUUAUUGCAGCUAGGGCACCCCUUUUCUUUCUCAAAGUCAACUUUCUCACUUGUUAGUCAAGCUUUGAAGUCCCUACUUUAUUUAGAUUUAUGGGAUAUUUGAAGAAGCGCAGGUUUUCCACCCUAUACCUAUACAAGGGGCUGGUCUCGAUCUCGCUUGGUGGUACCCCUCUCGAUGAUUGUUGACUCAACAUUGAUUUCGUGCUUGAGUUGGAGGGCUCUCCCUCCAUCCAUCGAGUCAAGUAAUUCGCUAUCGGAAAUUGAUCCGCCGCCUAUCUCAUGCCAUGCUUCUUCUUUCUCCGAAUCGGUUCCUAGUGUCAGGCAAUCAAGAUUCGCCAUCAAGAGAGGGAAGAGCCUUGGCUUUAGGUUAGGCCGGUUUCAUCAUUCACGCAAUUCCCCCGUCCAUCGAUUGAUCACGCGAGUAUGCAUCCUGUCAGUGCAUAGCGAAUGAAAAAGCGUUCAUCCUGGAUUGUCUUCCUCAAGAAAAAUGUCUAUCAAUUGAUCCCUAUUCAUUCGGUCAAAGUCUCCACUUUUCACGCCCCUCUACUAAGAGAUGCACCAUGUUGAUAGGAAUCGGCAAAGACCUUCUUGUACACGUCCUCUAGGGCAGCAUUCAUGGCAAUCAUCACUACUUUCUCCCGAGGGCAUGGUAUGGCUUUGUUUUGGGUCUUGUUUAUAGAUGCCGAGUGCCGCUUUUCCCCGUCCAAGAAUCUCCAUCUGCUCUAAGUGGGAGCGAGCUAGAAUCCUUAUGUCAGCUUGCUUGUUCAAAAGGCUGUCUCUUUACCCCUUGCAUCUUCAUCUUUUCGAAAGCCCAUACCAUUCUUCUGGAUCUGCAUUCGUCCUAUUACAAGGUGCAAAGCCUCUUCAAUAAAGACCUCUUUUUUUUCUUUCUCCCCCAUUUCUCAUUUUGUUGAUUGAAAGAGAAUAAGCGCUAUCCAUUGAGUAAAGAGAGGGUUUUCGGUCGGUUCCCGUUCGCCUUCCCCCCCCUCAUAGUCCAUUAGUGGGUAGGGUGGUCAACUUAGAGGGCGCCCGCCUCCUCUUCAGACGUGUCCUCG